UUGAUGGCUUAGUGAGACCUCCGGAUUUAUCUCAGAAGUGGGGCAACCCAUUAUCAGAGAUGAAGAAGUUGGUCAAACUUGGUCAUUUAGAGGAAGUAAAAGUCGUAACAAGGUUUCCGUAGGUGAACCUGCGGAAGGAUCAUUAUUGAAUUUAUGAUUUAAACAAUCUUAUAUUCUUGUGAACUUUAUAAACUUUGCUUGGGUGAAUAGUAUUGGAAACUUUACUGUUUGCCCAAAGUUUUUUACAAAAACACUUUAUUAAAAAAAAAACACCAAAACGAUUCUGAAAAUUUUAAAAAAAUUAAAUUAAAACUUUCAACAACGGAUCUCUUGGUUCUCGCAUCGAUGAAGAACGCAGCAAAAUGCGAUAAGUAAUGUGAAUUGCAGAAUUGUGAAUCAUCGAAUCUUUGAACGCACAUUGCGCCUUUUGGUAUUCCAAAAGGCAUGCCUGUUUGAGCGUGAUUACAUCUUCUUAAAUCAACUUUAUUGUUUGAAUUUAAGGUAUUGGAAAUUUUGUACUUGAUUCAUUUCAAGUACAAUUUUCUGAAAUACAUUGGUGAUCUUGUGAAAUUCCAAUUUAUAAAAAAACGUAUUAGGUUUUAUCCACUCGUUUUUAAUUAUAAUAUUGACUUUUCACAAAUUUAUAGAUCUGUCCAAAAUUUGUUUUAUCACUUCCACCUCAAAUCACUUUAUUGUUUGAAUUUAAGGUAUUGGAAAUUUUGUACUUGAUUCAUUUCAAGUACAAUUUUCUGAAAUACAUUGGUGAUCUUGUGAAAUUCCAAUUUAUAAAAAAACGUAUUAGGUUUUAUCCACUCGUUUUUAAUUAUAAUAUUGACUUUUCACAAAUUUAUAGAUCUGUCCAAAAUUUGUUUUAUCACUUUCCACCUCAAAUCAAGUAGGACUACCCGCUGAACUUAAGCAUAUCAAUAAGCGGAGGAAAAGAAACCAACAGGGAUUGCCUUAGUAGCGGCGAGUGAAGCGGCAAAAGCUCAAAUUUGAAAUCUGGUACUUUCAGUAUCCGAGUUGUAAUUUGUAGAAGCAACUUUGGUGAUGGUCUUUGCAUAAGUUCCUUGGAAUAGGACGUCAUAGAGGGUGAGAAUCCCGUUUAUGGUGAAGAACCCACACUAUGUAAAGUGCUUUCGAAGAGUCGAGUUGUUUGGGAAUGCAGCUCAAAGUGGGUGGUAAAUUCCAUCUAAAGCUAAAUAUUGGCGAGAGACCGAUAGCGAACAAGUACUGUGAAGGAAAGAUGAAAAGAACUUUGAAAAGAGAGUGAAAAAGUACGUGAAAUUGUUGAAAGGGAAGGGAUCUAAAUCAGACAUGGUAUUUUGUGAUCAACAGUCUUUCGGGACUGUGCACUCGCAUUUUACUAGGCCAGCAUCGGUUAGAAGGGGGUAAAAAAGAUUUUGGAAUGUGGCUCUUCGGAGUGUUAUAGCCAAGGUUAAUUGCCCCAUUUCUGACCGAGGACCGCGUCUUUUGACUAGGAUGCUGGCGUAAUGGUUUUGAUCCACCCGUCUUGAAACACGGACCAAGGAGUCUAACGUCUAUGCGAGUGUUUGGGUGUAAAACCCGUACGCGUAAUGAAAGUGAACGUAGGUGAGAGCCUUUUUAAGGUGCAUCAUCGACCGAUCCUGAUGUUUUCAGAUGGAUUUGA
rnacentral:rRNA from 1 species